rnacentral:rRNA from 1 species
UACGGGAGGCAGCAGUGGGGAAUUUUGGACAAUGGGCGAAAGCCUGAUCCAGCCAUGCCGCGUGAGUGAAGAAGGCCUUCGGGUUGUAAAGCUCUUUCAGCCGGAAAGAAAUCGCGCAGGAUAAUACUCUGCGUGGAUGACGGUACCGGAAGAAGAAGCACCGGCUAACUACGUGCCAGCAGCCGCGGUAAU